GAGGGAUUUCUUCUUCUUCUUCUUCUUUUCGUUCUAUUUUUGUUGAUUAUAAAAAAGUGGAAUUACCAAAAAGAAAAGAAAAAAAAUAAUGGAAUGACCUUUUUACCCCUGCAUGUGGAUGAGAUUUUGAUAGAAAUUUCAAUUUGGACUACGAUUGAUAAUGAACUUCACCACAGGGUUAAGAUUAACACUUUUUUCACCACAAGGGUCAAUUUAAAAGUAGUGUCUCACCAUAGGGGUCGUUGUGGUUGUGCAUAUGUGUGUGUGUGUGUGUGUGUGUGUGUGUAUUGAGCUUAUGGUAGUACUAUAUACAUUUGAACGUGUGUGUGUGUGUGUGUGUGUAUGUUAGGAGUAAUAAUGUGUGUAAUAACUAUUUGUUCAUUGUAAUUAAGGUGAGUAAUUACAUUUAUUGGUUUAUUUUGAAUAUUGUGGUACAAGUUGUAAAUAUCUUGUAAUAAUAGGUCAAUUAUUUUUCUACUUGGUAGUCAUUUUCAAAAUUGAGUUUUAUUUGGAAGUUUAUAACUAGGUGGGUUUUUGUCUAGAAAAUAAAAGUUGCUAGGGCCUAUAUCUAAAGAACUUUUUUUUUCAACGCUUUUAGCCGUUUCUCAAUGUUUUUUACUUCUUUUACGUUUUAAAACCCCAAUUCUCAUAUUGCAACCC
rnacentral:lncRNA from 1 species